GACGAACGCUGGCGGCAGGCCUAACACAUGCAAGUCGAACGAGUGGCGGACGGGUGAGUAAUGUCUGGGAAACUGCCCGAUGGAGGGGGAUAACUAGUGGAACCGGUGGAUAAUACCGCAUACCAUGCGUUGUGGCGAGGUGGGAUGAGCUAGUAGGUGGGGUAACGGCUCACAGAGGCGACGAUCCCUAGCUGGGCUGAGAGGCAGACCGGCCACACUGGGACGGAGACACGGCCCAGACUCCUACGUGAGGCAGCAGUGGGGAUUAUUGGACAAUGGGCGAAAGCCUGAUGCAGCAAUGCCGCGUGUAUGAAGAAGGCUUUCGGGGUGUAAAGUUCUUUCAGUGGGGAGGCGUUACUCGCAGAAGAAGCCACGGCUAACUCCGUGCCAGCAGCCGCGGUAAUAC
rnacentral:rRNA from 1 species